CUGAACUCGAGUAGGGCCCAAGCAAGCCCGGAAGGAGGAGGCAGCCAGAGUGGCCACCACUGCUCUCUGCAGCAGAAGACCCCUUGCUGCCCUGCUUAACCCAGACCAGCAUUUGCCAGGAUUGCUAGAGGUGUUCAGUAUUUCCAAAAUAUGUGUGUCAGUUAUGGAAGGAUGUACCAGGCUGUUAGGUGAAGGUUCUGCACAUCUGGGUGAAGGAUCUGUCCUUGUUGUUGGCUGAGCAGAUGAGGACUGUAAGAAAUAGAAGGCACUGAGAGCAAGCUGUUAAUCCUUCAGUGGACAAUGAAGAACUGAGGGGAAAGAGGCACCAGCAACGGAGAAAGGGGAGGAGCUACUGCCAAAAAGCUAGCAGAGGGGAAAGCUUGGAAGGUUCUAGAACAGGCUAUUGCGCUGGUGUGAAUACCCAACGUGUGAACAGAGACCAUGUCAAAGAAACACUGAAUAUUUUACUGCUUAUGAUACAGGGAUUUCAUGAAUGUCAGAAACACCACCACACAAGCAUACUUUUGUAUUCCAGUCUGCUCCCCUCGUCUCCUCUCUCCCCAACCAUCAUUUCACUUCCCUGGCUCCUGUUUUGCAGGGCAGAAGAAGCAUUGCACCAGCAACAUCCAGCCAGCAAGCAAGAGGUGAUAUAGCUUGUGUUGCUCAGUUGUUCCUCCUGAGUAGGGCUCAGGGCUAGAAGGAAAUUGUUCUACCAUGUGCUGCUGCACCUUCUGGGCUGAGUUUCAGCUCAGACCCUUUGCUGUCUCUGCUCCUGCGGUCUUGGGGUGAUUGUACAGAAGGCUGGGCAGACUUAAGGCUCCAGGAAGCUACCUUUUUUUUUUUUUUUUUUUUUGUGGCCAGAGUCUUGGUUGCUGCCAACAUGAAAAAGCAGCUUGAGCAAAUCAAGCCAGUCACAAAAUAGUGGCUGGGGAGGCAGAGCCCGCCAGUUGCACAAUUGCUGCACAAAAGCGUGUACAAAAACGUACGUUGACAGCAUAAGGAUAGUAACAUCAGACUGGCGGAAUUCCAAGAAACGGGGUCGGGGAUGCUAUAGGAGUUUCUGGCACUGAGCAGCGCAUCUUGCACUGAGCAGAGGGCUGGACCUGAAGACCUCCCAGGCAGUCUGAUCUUUGCAGAGCCUGUGUGUGCCUGAGGCUGGGACAGGGCUCUGUGGUGCUUAUUUUUGUUUGGUUCUCUCCCCAAAGUCUCCUCUUCUGCAGAAGCCAUUAAAAAACAAGAU